GAUGAACGCUGGCGGCGUGCCUAAUACAUGCAAGUCGAGCGAACGGACGAGAAGCUUGCUUCUCUGUUGUUAGCGGCGGACGGGUGAGUAACACGUGGAUAACCUACCUAUAAGACUGAGAUAACUUCGGGAAACCGGAGCUAAUACCGGAUGAUAUUUUGAACCGCAUGGUUCAAAAGUGAAAGACGGUCUUGCUGUCACUUAUAGAUGGAUCCGCGCUGCAUUAGCUAGUUGGUAAGGUAACGGCUUACCAAGGCAACGAUGCAUAGCCGACGUGAGAGGGUGAUCGGCCACACUAGAGCGGAGACGCGGUCCAGGCUCCUGCGGGACGCAGCAGUAUGGAAUCGUCCGCAAUGGUCGAAAACCUGACGGAGCAGCGCCGCGUGAGUGAUGAAGGUCUUCGGAUCGUAAAACUCUGUUAUGAGUGAAGAACAUAUGUGUAAGUUACUGUGCACAUCUUGACGGUACCUAAUCAGAAAGCCACGGCUAACUACGUG
rnacentral:rRNA from 1 species